rnacentral:lncRNA from 1 species
AUGCCUCUCACUGGGCAGGACACCGAGGAGCCACCAUCUGCAGGAGAACGGAGAUCAAGCGCAUGCACGAAAGAGGUGGCUGGUUGGGAUCACAUCCAUGAAGCAACAUGCUCGCCGAUGAACAGAUUUCAAGUCAGCCAUGAAUGGCUAGGAGCUUGGCAGGGGACUCCAGGCGGUGGCUCGGGGCGGGAGCACUGUGGCUUCCCAGGAAUGUCAGAGGCGACCGGUCACCAGCAAACCCCGGGCGCGCACAGCAUGUUGGUGAUGAGAUCAGAGCGCUUCACCAGGGACUCAUACCUUCAGCCUGACAAGGGACACAGCAUUCAUUUUUGAAAGUGAGGGAAGCUCUUACUGAAUGAUUGUUUGUACGACUUUUCAGCAGCACUAAAUGCAGAGGGUGCAUUUCAGCCUGUGUAGCAAAUGCAUGUGAUAAAAGGUGAACAAGUACAUGUUUGUCCUUACAGCUCUCCUAAAAAAGUGAUUUUUCACAUAAGGACAAAUCUAAGUGGUUCCAGUAGCCUUCUGUCCACACCUACUGUCCCCAUUAGAGCCUGUUUUAUUGUCUGAAAUGCCUCUGGUUUCAAAAAAGUGUUUUACCUAAAGCAAGAAUACUACUUAAAUAUGUUCUAUUGUAUAUUCAUAGCUCCAUUAGUCCUCCUCCAAUUUAGCACAUCAAAGCAAAGGCUUCAUCACUUGCGUGUGGAUUAUGCUAACAUGAGUGACAUUUGUAAUCUUAUAGGUCUGCAACUUAAGAAAUGCUUUUAAAGUAAGCUAUUAAAUAGGUAGCUGUGCUUUACAAAUGAAUCAUAUAAUAGUUUAUUUAAAGCUGUUAAUGAACUUCAACCUCUACAUCGCUAAAUGCUAUACUACAUUACUUACUAGAAGUUAUUAGCUAUCUUCUUAGCACUUCUGGGUUAUAUUGGACAACCAAAAAUCUGUACAUGUUAGAUUUAAACACUGUACCUUGAGUGCUUAUACUGAAAGAAUAUAAAAAGAUGUCUACAGUCUCACUAAUACUUGAAUUCCAUAUUCAUAUGACUUCAAGUGUCUUUUCAAAGAUAUUGAAGCAGCACAAUUUGCAGGACUUUACCUAAAGACUUUAAUGCCAGAUCAAAAAGCUUAGAAACUUAUUUUAAAAAUAUGUAAGUGCAUUUAAUUAAAAAUUCAUACAUAGCUUCAGUCAUUUUAUUGCUUUAUAUGUUAUGCAAGUGUUCUUUUGUUUUCACCGUCUGAUACUUUACAUUAUGACAUUUUCUUUUCUCUGCAACAGUCCUAUUUUUCCCCAAGCACUGAAGUGUUAAAAGAAGAAAUUCAGCAGACCUCCAAUAUACUAGAGGUCAAGAAGUAGCCUCUGAAAAAAAAAAAAUCUGCUGUUUGUUGGUUGUUUAGCCAGACAAAUCUAUAAAUCAGCAUUUUGCGUAUGGGCAUCACAACCAAAAUAAAGGGAGCUCACUCUGUAUCUAAGCA